AAAGAUAAGUAUUAUUAUUGUUUUGGUGUUUUAUGUUUAUUUUUAUAAAAAAUUAAUGAGUUUUGUUUUUUAGUAUGUUAUAGAAUUUGAUUUUUAUUGAUUAUAGUUAAUAAGUACAGUGAUGGAAUUAUUUAAAAUUUAAGUAAAGUAGUGGUUGGUUUUCGUACCUUUUGUAUCAGGGGUUAACUAUAUAGUUAUGUUAAUCAUAAUAUCCCGAAACAAAGAGAGUUAGGAUUUCAUUUCUUUUUAUCGUUGUAGAGAGGUUUGUAAAGGAUUUCUAGUAGUGAUAUGUUAAUCGGUCUUUGUAUAUCUGGUUUUUCGUUAAAUAAAUUUAAUUUUACACUAAGUUUUAAUUUAAUUUAGUAGUAAUGGUGGGAGGAAUGAGCUUCUUAUCUUUUGUUUUAUUAAACAUUUAUUUAAUAUUUCAUUUUAAGUGGGCUUAAAAUCAGCCAUCUUAUUAUAACGUUAAAGUAAUAUUGGUUGUUAGUUUUUAUUUUUAAAUUGUUUGUUGAUUUUAACGAAGAGUUUUAUUUACUGUUUAAGUGAAAGAUAAAAUGUUUAUAUAAGUAUAAUUAAAGUUUGUUUUUAGUUUUAAGUGAGUUGGUUGUUUAAUAUUUGUUUGGUGUUUAAAAGGAACUCGGCAAAUUUUGCCUCCGCCUGUUUAUCAAAAACAUGUCUGUGUGAAUUAGUUAUAAAGUCUAGCCUGCCCACUGAUUAUUUAAAGGGCCGCGGUAAUUUGACCGUGCGAAGGUAGCAUAGUCAGUAGUCUUUUAAUUGAAGGCUUGAAUGAAAGGUUGGACGAGGGGUAAGCUGUCUCUUUUACAAUAUUUGAAUUUAACUUUUAAGUGAAAAGGCUUAAAUUAUUUAGUGGGACGAUAAGACCCUAUAAAACUUAAUAUAGGUUUGACUUAAUUUUAUAAAAUGGGUGAUAAAGUGAUUUUGUUUAGUUUAUAUUUUGUUGGGGCGAUAUAGAUAUAAUAUGUAACUGUCUAUUAAAUUUAAUAAUUAUAAUUAGUUUUUGAUCCUACUUUGUGGAUUGAAAGAAUAAGUUACUUUAGGGAUAACAGCGUGAUUUUCUUUGAGAGUUCUUAUCGACAAGAGUAGUUGCGACCUCGAUGUUGAAUUAAAAUUUCAGUUAGGUGUAGCCGUUUAGCUGGUGGGUCUGUUCGACCUUUAAAAUUUUACAUGAUUUGAGUUCAAACCGGUGUGAGCCAGGUUGGUUUCUAUCUUUUAUAAGUUUAAAAAUGACUUUAGUACGAAAGGAUUGAGUCGUUAAGAUAGUCUUUUUUCAAGAUUAAUAUUAAUUG
rnacentral:rRNA from 1 species